rnacentral:rRNA from 1 species
GUCUACGGCCAUACCACGCCCAAUCUCUUCUGAUCUCAGAAGCUAAGCAGCGCUGGGCCUGGUUAGUACUUGGAUGGGAGAAUACCUAAAUUUUGACAAUUUACUCAUCCGUAUGCC